ACCUAGGUGGCUCAGUCGGUUGAGCAUCUGACUUCGGCUCAGGUCAUGAUCUGUGGUUCGUGAGUUCAAGCCCCGCAUUGGGCU
rnacentral:tRNA from 1 species